GCUCCCGGCCAAACCGGGGAGGCAAGACCCGUUCCCGUUCCGAACACGGCAGUGAAUCUCCCCGGGGAUCUGGCAAGUACUGUGCUCGCAAGAGCACGGGAACGCCAGGACGCCGGGUAGCC
rnacentral:rRNA from 1 species